CUCCACUUGGUUGUAGAACCAUUGACCACCACUCUCUGGGUGUGACCUUCAAGCCAAUUGUUGUCCACUGAAUGGUUCACCUAUCAAAUCCAUAUCUCUCUAAUUUGGAGACUAGGAUGUCAUAUGGGACCAUUUCAAAGGCCUUAGAGAAGGCCAGGUAGAUGACAUCGGUUAGUCAUCCCUUGUCAACUGAUGCAGUCACUCCAUCAUAGAAGGCCACCAGAUUGGUCAGACAAUUUACCUUUUGUGAUGCCAUGCUGACUGUCCUGGAUCACCUCCUUGUCUUGCAUGUGCCUUAACAUUGUCUCCAUGAGGAUUCAUUCCAUGAUCUUUCCAGGCACAGAAGUGAGGCUCAGCAGUCUGUAGUUCCCCAGGUCCUCCUUUCUAGCCUUUUUAAAAAUAGGAGUGAUGUUUCCCUUUUUCCACUCACUAGGGGCUUCACCUGACUGCCAGAACUUUUCAAAUAUGAUGGAGCAUGGCUUGGCAACUUCAUCGGCCAAUUCCUUCAGGACACUGAGAUGCAUGGCAUCAGGGCCCAGAGACUUGUAGCUGUUUAGUUUUGUUAGGUGAUCUUGAACCUACACUUACAGGGGUUGGAACUUUGCUCCCCCUGCCUCCAUCUAUAGGUUCAGGGAAAUGAAAAACUUGGGAAGUCUGACUGUCAGUGAAGACUGAGGCAAAGUAGUUAAGUACCUGAGCCUUCUCCAUGUCUUCAUUACCAGUUCACCCUCCUCAUCUAUCACAGUGGGUACACUCUCCUUGGCCUUUCUUUUUUGAGCAAUGUACCUGUAGAAUCCCUUUCUGUUAUUCUUUGCAUCCCUUGCCAAGCUCAGUUUCAUCUUUGCCUUGGCUUUCCUCAUCACAUCCCUACAAAUCCUGACUGCAUCUUUGUUCUCUUCCCAGGCCACAUGUCAUUUCUUCCACUGGCUGUGCAUUUCCUUCUCGUGCCUCAGAUAGCUUACGAGACCAAAACACCAAGUUCAGUGAAUUCGAUGUUCAUUCAGCUAACAAGCUUAAACUGCCCUAUGGAAAUCAUGUUGAUGUAUUGCCAAAAUCAAGCUGCUGCACUCAUAGGUGAACAGCACUGUAAUAUUUAAG
rnacentral:lncRNA from 1 species